UGGGGAAUAUUGCACAAUGGGCGAAAGCCUGAUGCAGCAACGCCGCGUGAGUGAUGAAGGCCUUCGGGUUGUAAAGCUCUGUCUUUUGGGACGAUAAUGACGGUACCAAAGGAGGAAGCCACGGCUAACUACGUGCCAGCAGCCGCGGUAAUACGUAGGUGGCAAGCGUUGUCCGGAUUUACUGGGCGUAAAGGAUGCGUAGGCGGAUUUUUAAGUGAGAUGUGAAAACCCUAAGCUUAACUUGGGGACUGCAUUUCAUACUGGAAAUCUAGAGUGCGGGAGAGGAGAAUGGAAUUCCUAGUGUAGCGGUGAAAUGCGUAGAGAUUAGGAAGAACACCAGUGGCGAAGGCGAUUCUCUGGACCGUAACUGACGCUGAGGCAUGAAAGCGUGGGUAGCAAACAGGAUUAGAUACCCUGGUAGUCCACGCCGUAAACGAUGAGUACUAGGUGUAGGAGGUAUCGACCCCUUCUGUGCCGCAGUUAACACAAUAAGUACUCCGCCUGGGAAGUACGAUCGCAAGAUUAAAACUCAAAGAAUUGACGGGGUC
rnacentral:rRNA from 1 species